GAGCACGUAGGUGGGUUUGUCAGUCAGAUGUGAAAGCCUUUUGUUCAACGGAAGAAUUGCAUCUGAAACUACAAACCUUGAGUAUAGGAGGGGAGAGUGGAACUUCUGGUGGAGCGGUGAAAUGCGUAGAUAUCAGAAGGAACGCCGGCGGCGAAAGCGACUCUCUGGCCUAUAACUGACACUGAGUGUGCGAAAGCUAGGGGAGCAAACGGGAUUAGAUACCCCGGUAGUCCUAGCCGUAAACGAUGGGCACUAAGUAGAGGGGUUUU
rnacentral:rRNA from 1 species